AUAACAUUAUUGAAGUUAUUUUUACAUAUUUGUCCACUGGAAAGAGGUCCCAUUGUAAAGUGAACCUGUGUUGGAUGUAACAUCGUUCUUUUGUGUGUGUUGGAAAAUUAUGGUAUUUCUCUUCUUAAUACUCCAUGGAUAUUUUAACUGUCAACAAAAGACCUCCAGCAUGAUUUGUCAGACUUAUGUCUCCACAUUUUUUUUUCUUUCAGAUAUUAUUCAGAUAUUUCAGAUACGUCGAUUUCAGGUCUUGUCAGACAGAAGAGGGUUGAAACAUUACCAUAGCUGAUGCAGGAUGUUGUGAGGAGAGAAAGGGAUAGACCCUAGCUCAUUUUCAGGAAAGUAGCUGGCCAGAGUGUCCAGAAUCACUGAGGGAUGUGUGAAGGCAGCAAACAAGAAACAAAAGGCAGAACUCUCAGGUGAUUCAAGGAGGAGAAAUGAUGUGGGCAGACGGUUAUUAUAUUUAGAAUUGUCUGGACAUCAGAAAACCCGAUUGUCAGUUUAAAAAAUGGCUGGGAUUGUUGAUGCCCUGGAAUGUCCCUGUGGAAGGAAUCAGAGGCUCUGUCUGCACCUCAUGCAUUCAUGCAGUGCAGCACUUUGCUUUCCUGCUCCAUCAUGUUCCUGAGAGGGUAUCCGAGCUCUGCAGUUCCCUCCCUGCCUCCUCCUCUCAAGCACAUGCUAUAAGGUGCCAGACACAUCCCACACCAUACAUCAGUCUGCGGUGCUCUCUCAUGCACAGGAGAAAAUGAUAGUUAAGGAGUGUAUGAAGGUGUGAAUCCUUAUUAAAAGCAAAGUAUGGCUUACUUUGCAGAAGGGACAAAGAUGUUAGAGAAAAUUACUUUAAAAUGUUAUAGAAAUUUAUUUGUGUAACUAAAGCCCUACAAUUUUUUGAUGGUCAUCUGUGAAGCUUCCAUAUUAUCCAAAUAAAAGUGCUGACUAUGCCUCA
ensembl:lncRNA